rnacentral:rRNA from 1 species
GACGAACGCUGGCGGCGUGCCUAAUACAUGCAAGUCGAGCGGACUUUCAAGAAGCUUGCUUUUUGAAAGUUAGCGGCGGACGGGUGAGUAACACGUGGGCAACCUGCCUGCAAGACGGGGAUAACUCCGGGAAACCGGGGCUAAUACCGGAUAAUAUCUUCCUUCGCAUGAAGGAAGGUUGAAAGGCGGCGCAAGCUGCCGCUUGCAGAUGGGCCCGCGGCGCAUUAGCUAGUUGGUGAGGUAACGGCUCACCAAGGCGACGAUGCGUAGCCGACCUGAGAGGGUGAUCGGCCACACUGGGACUGAGACACGGCCCAGACUCCUACGGGAGGCAGCAGUAGGGAAUCUUCCGCAAUAGACGAAAGUCUGACGGAGCAACGCCGCGUGAGCGAAGAAGGUCUUCGGAUCGUAAAGCUCUGUUGUCAGGGAAGAACAAGUACCGUUCGAACAGGGCGGUACCUUGACGGUACCUGACCAGAAAGCCACGGCUAACUACGUG